rnacentral:piRNA from 1 species
UAGCAAAGACUAGAGAUGGCCUGUCC